rnacentral:tRNA from 1 species
GGUGAUGUAGCUCAGUGGUAGAGCACUUGCUUAGUAUGCACAAGGCCCUGGGUUGAAUCUCCAGCACUUCCC